rnacentral:rRNA from 1 species
UACGGGGGGGGGCAAGCGUUGUUCGGAAUCAUUGGGCGUAAAGCGCGCGUAGGCGGCCCGGUAAGUCCGUUGUGAAAGUCAAAGGCUCAACCUUUGAACGCCGAUGGAUACUGCCGGGCUAGAGUCCGGAAGAGGCGAGUGGAAUUCCUGGUGUAGCGGUGGAAUGCGCAGAUAUCAGGAGGAACACCAAUAGCGAAGGCAGCUCGCUGGGACGGUACUGACGCUGAGGCGCGAAAGCGUGGGGGGCGAACAGG